GUUGUCCUUGGCCCUCACAAGACACACAGUCUCACACAGGACUGCACUCAAGUGGACUUGAAAAAGAAACACUGAUGCUGUACAUAUUGGGGACUGUCAUUGGAAUCAUCUGCAUCAUAGUAUGCAUUUCCAAAGGACUGAAAGAGAAGGAUAGUAAGCAAGGAAAUGGCUGUCAACCUCCUCCACAAAAACAAGUGGCCAAUAAAAAAAAGAAUCUGACUGAACAGGACCUUUUACUUCUGGCCAGGAUCCUGACCAUUGGACUGGUAGACGCAGACCCUACCACCUUGCAGCACCUAAGGGAAUACAGAGACCUUAGAGGAAGCACCACGUGAUGCAGUGAUCACUGAUACGCCUGUGCUCGUGUCAAAGACCAGACACUCCACUGAGACUGUUAUUGUCUUUGUGACACUAUGGGAGUAAGUUAGUGUAUUUGGGACUGUUUUGACUAAAGGGAACCAUGACCUUUAAGAGGAUUAGUUCUGAACUCGACAUUCAUCACCUUUUGGUACAAAGCCAUCAAGGGUUUUGUUUUCCUGCUUGCCAGUAUCAACAGGUAGUGAGAAUGAAACCGCUGCCAGUAUACUACAGCACAAAUAUGAGAGGUUUUUUUUAUGUCUGACACACAAGUGAAAAUGAUAUUCCAAAAAAAAAACUGAUAUUCUAUAAAAAUUCCAGGAAAAAUGUACUGCGUGUUUGGUCAUCUGAGCAUUAGUAGUUCUGUGUUGCAAUACUGAGUGAGGAUCACCUUCACUAAGGGAAAUUUCCAGUUGAACAUUCUUUGGGCCUUAACUCAGAGAGUGUACAGAGCACAUGAGGAAAUGUUUGCCCAACACAGAGGUUCUAUGAAGCAUGACAAUUUGUAUGAGAAAGAAUGUGACAAGAGAGCGUGAGAAUUUUCUAUGAAAGUUUUUAUUUUUUUUAAUUAUUGUUGUGGAUUAUCAAUGGAUUUUGAACAUCUUUUAUUCUGCCAAAUGUGAGACAUAAUCUAGUAAAAUUGCAACGUUUCCCUUGCUUAUUUACAGAGGACAGGUUAA